AGUGAACGCUGGCGGUAGGCCUAACACAUGCAAGUCGAACGGCAGCACAGUAAGAGCUUGCUCUUACGGGUGGCGAGUGGCGGACGGGUGAGGAAUACAUCGGAAUCUACUUUUUCGUGGGGGAUAACGUAGGGAAACUUACGCUAAUACCGCAUACGACCUACGGGUGAAAGCAGGGGAUCUUCGGACCUUGCGCGAUUGAAUGAGCCGAUGUCGGAUUAGCUAGUUGGCGGGGUAAAGGCCCACCAAGGCGACGAUCCGUAGCUGGUCUGAGAGGAUGAUCAGCCACACUGGGACUGAGACACGGUCCAGACUCCUACGGGAGGCAGCAGUGGGGAAUAUUGGACAAUGGGCGCAAGCCUGAUCCAGCCAUACCGCGUGGGUGAAGAAGGCCUUCGGGUUGUAAAGCCCUUUUGUUGGGAAAGAAAAGCAGCAGGUUAAUACCCCGCUGUUCCGACGGUACCCAAAGAAUAAGCACCGGCUAACUUCGUG
rnacentral:rRNA from 1 species